UGAGGAAUAUUGGUCAAUGGGCGGUAGCCUGAACCAGCCAAGUCGCGUGAGGGAAGACGGCCCCUAUGGGUUGGUAAAACCUCCUUUUUGUCGGGGGAGCAAGACGGUGUACGUGUACGCCGUCUGAGAGUACCCGAAGAAAAAGCAUCGGCUAACUCCGUGCC
rnacentral:rRNA from 1 species